UGCCCAGUAGCCAAGCGGUAAGGCAUUAGGCUCUGACCCUAACAUUUCAUAGGUUCGAAUCCUAUCUGGGCAGCCA
rnacentral:tRNA from 4 species